CAGUAGCCGCGGUAAUACGAGGGGGGCAAGCGUUGUUCGGAAUUAUUGGGCGUAAAGGGUGCGUAGGCGGUUUCGCAAGUCUUGUGUGAAAUCUAUGGGCUCAACCCAUAGUCUGCACAGGAAACUGCGAGGCUUGAGGAUGGGAGAGGUGAGUGGAAUUUCCGGUGUAGCAGUGAAAUGCGUAGAUAUCGGAAGGAACACCUGUGGCGAAAGCGGCUCACUGGACCAUUUCUGACGCUGAUGCACGAAAGCUAGGGGAGCAAACAGGAUUAGAUACCCCGGUAGUCCCUGUCUCUUAUAC
rnacentral:rRNA from 1 species